rnacentral:rRNA from 1 species
CGGCGUGCUUAACACAUGCAAGUCGAGCGGGGAGUUGGCCUUCGGGCUGACUUCUAGUGGCGGACGGGUGAGUAACGCGUGAGUAACCUGCCUCUCAGGAGGGGGAUAACGUUCUGAAAAGAACGCUAAUACCGCAUAUUAUCACAGAAUCGCAUGGUUUUGUGAUGAAAGGAGCAAUCCGCUGAGAGAUGGACUCGCGUCUGAUUAGCUAGUUGGUGAGGUAACGGCUCACCAAGGCGACGAUCAGUAGCCGGACUGAGAGGUUGAACGGCCACAUUGGGACUGAGACACGGCCCAGACUCCUACGGGAGGCAGCAGUGGGGGAUAUUGCACAAUGGGGGAAACCCUGAUGCAGCAACGCCGCGUGAAGGAAGAAGGCCCUCGGGUUGUAAACUUCUUUUAGCAGGGACGAAGAACGUGACGGUACCUGCAGAAAAAGCAACGGCUAACUACGUG